rnacentral:snRNA from 1 species
GCUUGUACCAGGUGGCACAGGCA